rnacentral:lncRNA from 1 species
CUUGCCUGUCCCAGUGGAAUUAAUGGAAGCUGUCAACAGCCCGCCCCUGACCUCACUGGAUAUAACUGUGUCCUCGGCAGAGGCUUUGAUCCAGAGGCUUUGACAAGGCUACUGCUCAUCCAACUCAGCCAGAAAGUAGGGUAAACUGAGCGCUAAUAUCUGAAACAACUUUUUUCAGGAUGGUAUCGAAUGAAGACUGGAUAGGUUCCAGAGAAUCAUUCUUCACAUACUAAAGAGCUGAAACCAGAAGGAGCUCAACAACUCAGACUCCAGAUCUUUCAGACAAUGGUUCACAAGAUUUCCCUUGCUUCUUGGGUUCCUCUCUAGCUCGCCAUCCACUGGUGAUCUUGUUGAUGUAUCUGUUUGGUUACUUCCUGACUCCCCACAGCCCCAUAUCCGUGGCCAGAAGAAAGCUCAGGAGCAAAGCUUAGGAGUACUGUCUGCCUUGUUUGUCACCAGUGUGACUAGCACAGUGUGUGACACAGCAGGCGAACAAAAUGAACCAGUUGUGGAAUAAAUCUCUCACCUGCUUUCAACUCACCCCUAAGAUCCCUGUCUAUGAACACUUUACCCUACUCUAGCAGGUGGUUUGGUGCCCUGUCCAGACCUGAGGUUUCAGAUUC